CUGCGAUUUUACUGUGUAAAAUACUAAGUUCUGUUCUCUCCCACCUACCUUCCAUGACUCCUCCUGUUUUUCUCCAAUUUCUUCCCAUUGUACAGUGCAGUCUAGAAAUUUCUAUUGCCUUUGAUUUUUAUUCGAUUUUGCACAAAUUUUUCUAGCAGUGCUUCAAAUGACUGGAUUCUCUGAGAUGUCUCGAAACCGAUUCUGCUGAAGAAGGUAUUCUACAACUGAACACAUUAGUAGGCUCAAUUUGUCGAGCACAUACAUGUCCAGAAUCAGGUAACAAAUGAAUCAAAUUGGUCAAAAAAUAGAAUCAGACAGGCGGCUUGCCACCAUUAAGAAGAUCUACCCACUUUCUCUCCUCCAAUUUCUUUUCAAAAGUAAUGAGAGGUUUAUGGGCAGAAGGGUAUGCAGAGAUUAAACAAUAUUAAUUUGGAACAGGUGAGAAGCAACAGAAUACUAAUAUGGUAUUUUAAUUUUUUUUCUUAUUUGAUAUAUGCUAUUUUGAGUGAAAUCUUUUAUCUGACGUCGAGUUAAACAGGUGAUACUAAUGCUUGAAAUAAGUUGCUUUGACAUUAGUUCUCUGCCAAUGUAUUGGUUUAUUUUUUAUUUUUUAUAAUUAAUUUGAGGUCUUACAGUAUAACUGAGAAUUGAAAAGGUAAUUUGGAUUGUCAUCAGCCACUAUGUAACUUUCUUUAUAAGGAGGUCUUAAGUUUCUUUUGUACUUUAGGCUAAAAAAAUAAAUUAUCAAAUUAAUUAUCUCAGAAAUUCAGGGCAUCUUAGAAAAUGAAUUGAUCUUAGUUCUGGUGAGAAGACUGUCUAGGAAAAUGACCGGUGAGAAAUAAUAUGAUAAUUUAUCUUGGUUUUGGAACUAUGGAGUGUCUUAGUAGCUAUAUGCGUUACCAAUCAACAAGAUAUGGAGUUUCUGAUAGCAAAAGCUUCUUGGACCAAGCAGACGGUAGUGGCUUAAUUUCUGUUAAAACUCAUUUAUUUGGUCUCUCUCAAAUUCUGUUAAGGAGCAUGUUUAGUUGUGAAAAAGACCUUAAUGAAUGUAUUUCAUGCCUUUAUACAAGAGAAUCGUAAUUUAAAUUGGCUGCAAUAAUGCCACUUCUUAUGCUCACAGCUCUAUAUUUCUCUCUUUGAUGAUCCCAUGUUAACAAAAUUUGGUUCCUCAAUCUGAUUUUUCGAGGAAAGCAUAUGGACAAGUUUCCAUUUGAUUGAGAUGGGGUGAGGUUGUCUAGUAUAACUUCUUUUCGUAUCAUGGUGGUGGAAAUGGAUAUUAGCAAAACUUAAGCAAAGUUUAAUGGCUGUUCUUCGGAACACUAGUAAAUGUUCAUUCUUUUUUUUUAUUCCAGUUAAUUUUCUCUUUAUUGUUGAUACGAAUCAUGUAUUAUGAAAUACGAUUGUAGUGUGUCUAAAGUUUGACAUUCUGACAGUUUUUACCAGCAACAAAAUAUAUGAAGCAAGUCCAAAAACUUUAAAAUG